CAAACAUGGACCUUCUGGACCCGGAGUUACGGCUAAUUUUUGUCCCUACCAGGUAGAUAAACAAGUCAGCGGGCAUCCCAGUUGUGACAACAUGGAUGGAGUAAAAAUGAAUGCCUUAAGGAAUAUGUAGGAUUUUUCUAAAUGAGAGAUUUUACAGUAUUUAUAACUCCCAAUAAUAAAAGCUUAAAUUAUGUUCGGCCUACUUUUCUAAAGGGGGAUUGUUUUUGGAAACAAUUGGGGUUGGGAUGGGAACAUAUUAAGAGGAAGUGGUGUAUGUUGGUAGUUACAUAAAGGAUGCUAACAAUGUUAUUUCCAUGCCUCUGUACUCAUUUUAUCUGUCAGGUGUACUUCAUAAAACAGUUAGUUAUACAAGGUUAAACUGUUUAAUAUAUAUAGAAUUGUAUACAUUCACAUAACUGAUUAGUUUAACUAGUGCUUUGCCAGGCACUAAAAGUCUUGAUUUGGAUUGAUUUACUGUAUCUACACUCUGUUGGUUGAGUGUUUGAUGUAAAAAAUGUCACCUGUGUAGGACAGUAAAAGGAUUAAGGUUAA